AGGGUGGAUUUAUGAGUAAUAAGAUUUUAUUAUUGUUUGGUGGAGUGUGGAAUAACAUAUGUACAUAUUGCCCGUCGCUCUCAUGUUUUUUAUUGAGAUAAGUCGUAACAUAGUUGGCUCACUGGAAAGUGAGUCUUUUUGU
rnacentral:rRNA from 1 species